rnacentral:rRNA from 1 species
AUUGAACGCUGGCAGCAGGCCUAACACAUGCAAGUCGAACGGUAACAGGAAGCAGCUUGCUGCUUCGCUGACGAGUGGCGGACGGGUGAGUAAUGUCUGGGAAGCUGCCUGAUGGAGGGGGAUAACUACUGGAAACGGUAGCUAAUACCGCAUAAUGUCGCAAGACCAAAGAGGGGGACCUUCGGGCCUCUUGCCAUCGGAUGUGCCCAGAUGGGAUUAGCUUGUUGGUGGGGUAACGGCUCACCAAGGCGACGAUCCCUAGCUGGUCUGAGAGGAUGACCAGCCACACUGGAACUGAGACACGGUCCAGACUCCUACGGGAGGCAGCAGUGGGGAAUAUUGCACAAUGGGCGCAAGCCUGAUGCAGCCAUGCCGCGUGUAUGAAGAAGGCCUUCGGGUUGCAAAGUACUUUCAGCGGGGAGGAAGGGAGUAAAGUUAAUACCUUUGCUCAUUGACGUUACCCGCAGAAGAAGCACCGGCUAACUCCGUG